UACGUAGGGUGCAAGCGUUGUCCGGAAUCAUUGGGCGUAAAGCGCGCGUAGGUGGUCAUGUAAGUCCGCUGUGAAAGUCAAAGGCUCAACCUUUGAAAGCCGGUGGAUACUGCAUGACUAGAGUACGGAAGAGGCGAGUGGAAUUCCUGGUGUAGCGGUGGAAUGCGCAGAUAUCAGGAGGAACACCGAUGGCGAAGGCAGAUCUCUGGGCCGUAACUGACGUUGAGGAGCGAAAGCGUGGGGAGCGAACAGG
rnacentral:rRNA from 1 species